rnacentral:misc_RNA from 1 species
AUUUUACAAGCUUCUCCCCGCCGAUUAACUCGGCCCCCGCCGCGGCUAUUUCUGGAGAUCUGCUAUAAUGAAGCCACACGGUGAAAACUGGAACAGUGAUGGAGGCGAUAUCCGCUGUAUAUGAUGAGGAAGGUUUGGGGAGUACUUUUAGCGCUUGUGGUUUCAGUCGCUGGGAUCUACUUCGUUCUCUCGCGGUCAGUACUGGAUUACCAAGUGACAGAGAGCCCGACAUGGAUUCCGCCCGCUUCCGUUCAAAAAAUGAAAUCUGGGAUCAAGGACAUCCUGAAUUUUACCCAGAAUGCCCUGCUUAUAAUACCAAGUGUCGACAAAUUCAUUCCAAACCUCACACAAGAUAACUUGGUUAAAAAGAAAAGUGUUGUCGAAAUACCACAAAAAAAUGAAAGCAAAGUUGGAAAUAACGUGAAAAAUACAAGGAACGUCACCAUAGUUACAGCUUACUGGAAUCUCGGAACGUUUCAAAAGGGUGUCGGAGGUCUUAAGUUCUCAAUAAACACAUAUUUCAAAUGGGCGUCCACAUUCAAGUACUUAGUGAAUCCUCUGGUUGUGUAUACUGACUGCAAAGAGUUUAAGGAGUUGAUGGAGACUCUGCGAUCCGAUCGCCUCAACAACACAAUGAUAUACCUGCUGAAUCGGACGGAACUCUGGCCCUUCCAACUUGUCACCCAAAUGAAAUCCGUCCUGGAUCAACCGGGUUAUCCAAAAUAUUACCCCAAUACAGUAAUCCCUGAAUAUCCCGCGGCCCAACAUUCAAAGUAUGCGGUUGUGGCAGAAACGAUACGCAAAGGCGUCUUUGCCAAUCCUUACUUCGCUUGGGUAGAUAUAGGAUAUUUUAGGGAUGUCGUGGAACGAAAGGUUGACUUUACCUUGGACAUACCACCGGGCUUUGACCCAGGAAAAAUAUCUGUCAACCGAGUGGAGGGUCUGUCAAUGAAUAUAGACCCUUUCACGAUAUUUAGGAAAAACAUCGUAUGGGUUGGAGGAGGAAUAUUUCUUGGGAAAGGAGAGGCACUACUUCAAUUUGAGCAGUUGUAUCACAGGGCACCUUGAAGCCGAAUAUAGAACUACAGUUGUACAUCCCAAAGGGAUCCGGAAAUCCGUGGUUUUAUUUGGGAUAUUUGUGUAGAAAAGAAGUAUCUGUUAGAAAUUCGUGAAAGUGUGUAUGAAAGAGAGAGGGUGGAAGAAGAGGGAGUGAGAGUAUAGGCAUUAUAUAGAGAGUAAAGGCAUUAUAUAUAGAGUAAAGGCAUUAUAUAGAGAGUAAAGGCAUUAUAUAGAGAGUAAAGGCAUUAUUUAAAUGAAUUUUUCACUUUAUCAUUUGUAUUUUCAGCUUGGUUGUAUAUAUUUUUUUUAGAUUCUCAUGAUGACAUACUUAUGCAUGAAAGUUUUUUGACGAUACCCAGCUGUAGUCAAAAUAGUGUGAAUCGGACCAAAUUCACGGACAUGUUCAUCAUUUGUUUUCUGUUAUAUCGGUACCCUCAAUUGUUAAAACAUAAUCUUUAUGUUUACAUUGUUUUAUGCAUAUUUAUUUCAAAUGAUCAUGUGGAAUUCAAGGGGGGGAAUAAAAAUUCUUAACUA